rnacentral:tRNA from 1 species
UGUAGAGUAGACUAAUGGUUGGUCACUAGACUCAUGAUCUAGAAAUGUAGGUUCGAUUCCUACCUCUGCUU